GGGCGCGUAGCUCAGGGGAAGAGCACUCGCCUUACAAGCGAGGAGUCGGCGGUUCGAACCCGUCCGCGCCCACCA
rnacentral:tRNA from 1 species